UGUUAAUAGCCCUGCAACUCAUUUAUAAGCGGGUAAUAGGGUCCCGCGUUUCUACCAGGCGCCGUAAAUGUCUGACUAACGGAGUAUAUAUGAAAUUC
rnacentral:ncRNA from 2 species